CGCGAGGAUACAACAUUUGAAAUUGAAAUCUUCCAUUCUGCCCCAUUUCCCUUUCUAGACAAAUAAUUUCAGUGAUAACUUUUUGAAUUUCUUCUUGAGUUACGAUGUGAGCGACGUUGGGCAUUAUUUAAACCAAGUUUUUCUUUUCGACUAAAUAGGUCCUUCGUAGAACCAAGCAUUUUUGUCUCGCUAUUUUGGUGUAGUGACAUGGAGGCUAGAACUAAAAGUAAAUGGGUUAAAAUUAUAAACUGAAUUAGUAAAUGAGUGAGGAUUCACUACAAGAAAGUGGAGAAUAUCCGGUGCACUUUUACCGGCGGCCAUCACCAACUACCGGCUGCUCAGUCGACUUAAAAAGAAAACCUCUCUCUCUCUCUCUCUCUCUCUCUCUCUCUCUCUCCAUCUCCGCCAUCUCGUCUCUCCCUCUCCCGUCCUCGAUCUCUCUCCCUCAUACUCUCUCGAUCUCUUUCCCUUCCUCUCCCUCCCCCUCUCGAUCUCCCUCUCCUCCCUCUCUCUCAAUCUCUCUUUCCCUCGUUUUCUUCGACGUGUUGUUCCUUCUUCGAUCUCCCUCCAACAAUCGAAGAAAGUAGAAGAAAGAAGAGAAAAUCGAAGCAGCCAUCGCAGCGGCAGCCAUAUCCGCCACUGUCCAUGGCCACCGACAUCUGCAUGUUAGUUGUUUGAAGAAAUGCUUCAACCAAUAACGUGUACCACUGUUGUACAUUUAAUCUCUGUUUCUUUCAUACUUUUUUGGCCCAUCCAUGAGUGGACUAGCCUGAUAUAUGGGAGGGGAACAAUCAACAUUGAUCCACCUCAUUAGAGGCAGUGAUCCCACACAUAUACCACUUUAGACCAUGUGUGUGUGCGGAUAGGGCAUUCCUCCUCUAUUUAUUCACUUCGAUGAUCAAAACUGUUAAUAUGCUGGCCCUCAACCUGGAUGGCUAAUGAUAUGGAAAUCCCCAGAUUGGAAGGUCGUAGCUAUUGAAUAUUUGAUCUUUUACUAGAAUGUGAACUUUGGUGUCUUUAUUUUCUUAAUUGCGUAUUUGUUGGGCAACCUAUUGAAGUGUUUGGAUUUUUCUGUUUUUGGUAUUUUUUGGCCCAUGGUCCACCAAAGUGGGACCCAUUAUAUCAAUGGGUGGGAUAACUAAACUAUUGAUUUCACUUGUACAAACCAAAACCUUGAAGGAUACUAUUAAAACAUCCAACAUGAGUAUUGUUAUAAUGCCUUGUUGAUUGAAAAGAAGCUAAAGGACUGGCCAAUGUCAAAAUUUUUAAAGCCACCCAAAUUCUGCACAAACCAUGACAUUCAAUUUUUCCUUGAAUGUUGAGAUCAAAUCAUAAAUAGAAUAGUGUUUUUCAUAAUAAUGAAACGGUCUUCACUACAUGUCAGCUUGAGUGAGUGUGUUUUGGGAAUUCAUGAAUAGGACAUUUUUUUUCCUUUUUUUUUUUUUUUAUUUUUUUUUUUGUAAUAAUGAGGAAUGGUAACUUUUCCACUGGCAGAUAUAAGAACAGUAUAUCACAGAACCACAUUAAAAAGAAUUCAAAAUUUUGAAUUCCACUGGCAGAUUUAAAAUGAAGUCUGCUCAGCCUACACCCGUGCAAAACCCUGCCCAUCCACGCACAUACAUGCCAUUAUGAAAUGUGUGCGAGAUUUGAGAGCUUUCCAGCAGAUGGGCCACACUGUUUAAGAUCUUUUGGCCUAAAAAUCAGGUUGUUCCCUCUGGUGGGUCGCAUUAUACACAACAAACAAUGUGAUACACCUGAUGUCAAGACUAACCAGCCAAAUCCUGCACAUAAAAAAACAUGUCAUAUUAAAUAACAAGUGGAGAAUGGAGAUAAAAUGCAACCAGAAAACCAAAGAAAUACUCCAAAAAUCUCUCACAGAUUAAGAAGCACAGACAUGAAUUAUGAUAAUCCAAUGACAGAUGUUAAGAAAACCAUGUAAAGAAAAAGAUAACAAAAUGCCUGGAUAGAUAUAAUACCUGGCCUUUUUUGGUUGAAUGUACUCUGUUGUUAUAUUCUCUUUCCCAAACAUGUAUUGGUUGGGACACCCAUUGAAGGAUCAAAGCUUGGAAGAUACAUGUCAACACCUGGACACUGAUCUUGUGGAUCCUACAUUUGCGGGGCAUGUGACACAUGGCAGCUUAGGAUGGGACCAUACCCUCCCCUCUCUUUUCUUGUUUUUUUUUUUCCCUUUCCCUCCUUCUGUGGCUAAAAAGACCUGUUAGGAUCUCUUCAUGGACUGUUUGAAGAUUGCAAUGAGAAUAUUUUUGCAUAUAAAUGUUUUUAAAGUUAAAUAGUUCUUUCCC